rnacentral:rRNA from 1 species
UACGGAGGGUGCAAGCGUUGUCCGGAAUCACUGGGCGUAAAGGGCGCGUAGGCGGCCUGGUAAGCGUGCGGUGAAAGCCCGGGGCUCAACCCCGGGUCUGCCGUGCGAACUGCUGGGCUUGAGCACUGUAGAGGCAGGUGGAAUUCCGGGUGUAGCGGUGGAAUGCGUAGAGAUCCGGAGGAACAUCGGUGGCGAAGGCGGCCUGCUGGGCAGUGGCUGACGCUGAGGCGCGACAGCGUGGGGAGCAAACAGG